GCCAACGUAGCUCAGCUGGUAGAGCAGCUCACUCGUAAUGAGCAGGUCGUCGGUUCGAGUCCGACCAUCGGCUCCA
rnacentral:tRNA from 1 species